ACUCAAAUGAAUUGACGGGGGCCCGCACAAGAGGUGGAGUAUGUGGUUUAAUUCGAAGCAACGCGAAGAACCUUACCUGGGUUUGACAUCCCAUGAAAAGUGUAGAGAUACAUAAUAGCCGCAAGGCACAUGGAGACAGGUGCUGCAUGGCUGUCGUCAGCUCGUGUCGUGAGAUGUUGGGUUAAGUCCCGCAACGAGCGCAACCCUUUCCCUUAUUUGCCAUCAUUAAGUUGGGCACUCUAGGGGUACUGCCGAUGAUAAAUCGGAGGAAGGUGGGGACGAGGUCAAGUCAUCAUGGCCCUUACAUCCAGGGCAACACACGUACUACAAUGGCCAAAACAAAGCGAAGCAACAUCGUAAGGUAGAGCUAAUCGCAAAAACAUGGUCUCAGUUCGGAUUGUGGUCUGCAACUCGACCACAUGAAGUUGGAAUCUCUAGUAAUCGCAGAUCAGCAGGCUGCGGUGAAUACGUUCCCGGGCCUUGUACACACCGCCCGU
rnacentral:rRNA from 1 species